rnacentral:tRNA from 1 species
GAAAAUGUGGCGCAAUGGAUAACGCGUAUGACUACCACGGAUCAGAAGAUUCCAGGUUCGAGUCCUGCCUUUUUUC